AGAGUUUGAUCCUGGCUCAGAACGUACGCUGGCGGCACGCCUAACACAUGCAAGUCGAACGCAGUAGCAAUACUGAGUGGCAAACGGGUGAGUAUAAUGUGGGAAUCUGCCUUUUGGUUUGGAAUAACACGAGGAAACUUGUGCUAAUACCGGAUAAGCCCUUACGGGGAAAGUUUUAACGCCGAAAGAUGAGCCCGCACUUGAUUAGCUAGUUGGUAAGGUAAAAGCUUACCAAGGCAACGAUCAAUAGCUGUUCUUAGAGGAAGACCAGCCACAUUGGGACUGAGACACGGCCCAAACUCCUACGGGAGGCAGCAGUGGGGAAUCUUGCACAAUGGGGGAAACCCUGAUGCAGCGAUGCCGCGUGAGUGAAGAAGGCCUUUGGGUUGUAAAACUCUUUCGUCGGGGAAGAAAAUGACUGUACCCGAAUAAGAAGGUCCGGCUAACUUCGUGCCAGCAGCCGCGGUAAUACGAAGGGACCUAGCGUAGUUCGGAAUUACUGGGCUUAAAGAGUUCGUAGGUGGUUGAAAAAGUUGGUGGUGAAAUCCCAGAGCUUAACUCUGGAACUGCCAUCAAAACUUUUCAGCUAGAGUAUGAUAGAGGAAAGCAGAAUUUCUAGUGUAGAGGUGAAAUUCGUAGAUAUUAGAAAGAAUACCGAUUGCGAAGGCAGCUUUCUGGAUCAUUACUGACACUGAGGAACGAAAGCAUGGGUAGCGAAGAGGAUUAGAUACCCUCGUAGUCCAUGCCGUAAACGAUGUGUGUUAGACGUUGGAAAUUUAUUUUCAGUGUCGCAGCGAAAGCGAUAAACACACCGCCUGGGGAGUACGACCGCAAGGUUAAAACUCAAAUGAAUUGACGGGGACCCGCACAAGUAGUGGAGCAUGUGGUUUAAUUCGAAGAUACGCGCAGAACCUUACCAACACUUGACAUGUUCGUCGCGACUCUAAGAGAUUAGAGUUUUCGGUUCGGCCGGACGAAACACAGGUGCUGCAUGGCUGUCGUCAGCUCGUGUCGUGAGAUGUUGGGUUAAGUCCCGCAACGAGCGCAACCCUCACUUUUAGUUGCCAUCAUUAAGUUGGGCACUCUGAAAGAACUGCCAGUGAUAAGCUGGAGGAAGGUGGGGAUGACGUCAAGUCCUCAUGGCCCUUACGUGUUGGGCUACACACGUGCUACAAUGGCAUCUACAACAGGAAGCAAAACGGCAACGUUAAGCAAAUCCCGAAAAGAUGCCUCAGUUCGGAUUGCACUCUGCAACUCGAGUGCAUGAAGCUGGAAUUACUAGUAAUCGUGGAUCAGCGUGCCACGGUGAAUGCGUUCCCGGGUCUUGUACACACCGCCCGUCACACCAUGGGAGUUGGUUCUACCUUAAGGCAAGGUUUUAAACCCUUGACCACGGUAUAGUCAGCGACUGGGGUGAAGUCGUAACAAGGUAACC
rnacentral:rRNA from 2 species